rnacentral:misc_RNA from 1 species
CCGGAAGAGAGCCACGUGCUGGCUAAUUCCAUGCCCUUUUGUCCAAAAGGUUUCCAAAACCAGCGUGUGUUCUCCACAUCCCAUUCGUUGUAGCCAUACACACAACCAUCAUCGUAGUCAUCAUCUUCUUCUUCAUCUUCUACUCGACUCUCAAGCCAAAACUACAGAGAGUGAAAUUAUCCGUACAUUUUCUUUGCAAAAACUAUAUUAAACCAAUAAUCUACUGAUAGCAUUUUUGUGAGUGCUUCUUCUAUUACCAAACAUUGAAGCUGUAAAAUAAGAGGAAUGGGCCAGGCAUUUCGUCGAGCAUCUGGCAGAAUCCGAGCCACCGAUCCAUCUCCGACUCCCAAGAGCGUAAGUGAACGCAGGCCUCCCGUGGCCACCACCGAUAAGACGGAGAUCUCGAGGAGAACCGCCCAAUAUAAUAAUCAGGACCCUCUUGAUUUUGGUUAGUAUCUAUGUCCUUGCUUUUUAUUAGACUUAUCGGAUUCUUUAGAAGCUGAUUAAUUGGAAGUUGCGGCUACUUUGGUUUUUUUGGGGAACCCAAAUGCAAAAGCGAUUUCUAUUUUUUAAUUUUUAAAAUUUUUGCAUGUCCAUAUGAUUUUCAUAAACAGCGACUUGCAUAUGAUUUCCUCUGAAGUCAGUAUUCGAAGGGUUUGUUUGGUUUCUGAGAAAACUAAAGGAAAGACAUUAAAUUUCUAGCAUUGGCAUUCAUGUGGAUGGAGUGGUUUGUGCUUAUAGCUUGUAUUUUGGCCCCUCUAUUAUUCUCGUUGCUUGUGUAGCAGAAUUUGAAGUGGUUUGAUUUAUAAUUACGUUGCAAGCAAACGUUUUCAUGCCCUGCAAUUACUAGAGGAAUUGGAUUAGUAAGGACAUAUGCGAGAAAAGACCAGUUUGCAAUGUUUCACUUGGAUUGAAAUUAAAGGUGUUAGAAAUAAAAUAUUUUUCACUACAGGAUUGGAAACAUUUGCACCAGUCUUUCUUUAUCUUUUCUUUCCUGUUUAUUUCUUGAACCAUCUUGUCGAUUUUGAUUUAAGUCAACACAUAUCCUUACUUCUACUUGUCAGAUCCUUACUUCUACUUGUCAGAGAUCAGAGGAUAAUUUGUUUUUGAAAAUGUAAAUGUGUAAAUGUGAUGUUCACAAUGAGAGAUUUAUUAGAACAGACUAUUCCCCCAUUUCUGAAUGGCUACAGGUAUGUUGCUGAUGUUUUAGGGUAAAUAUCACACAGUGGCUUAACUUUUUUUCAUAAAAGUCACCAAACUUUUAAUUUCUUUCAUAAAACUCACUGAAUUUUAAUUUGAUUUCAUAAAAGUCAUUGUGACUUGAAAUUAAAGUUUUCAAACUAACCUGCUAAUCUGUCAACUAUUUUACAAAUAAAAUUACAUAACCAGUAGUUGCUGGAAGAAAAAAAUAGACAAAGGAGAGGAUUUGACGGCGAGAGGGUAGCUGGAUGCCUUUUAUGAAUCCUAUUUUCUUUUUUCUUUUUUUUUUGUACGUAACUAAUAAAAUAAA